GAUGAACGCUAGCGGGAGGCCUAACACAUGCAAGCCGAGCGGUAUUGUUUCUUCGGAAAUGAGAGAGCGGCGUACGGGUGCGGAACACGUGUGCAACCUGCCUUUAUCUGGGGGAUAGCCUUUCGAAAGGAAGAUUAAUACUCCAUAAUAUAUUGAACGGCAUCGUUUAAUAUUGAAAGCUCCGGCGGAUAGAGAUGGGCACGCGCAAGAUUAGCUAGUUGGCGAGGUAACGGCUCACCAAGGCGAUGAUCUUUAGGGGGCCUGAGAGGGUGAUCCCCCACACUGGUACUGAGACACGGACCAGACUCCUACGGGAGGCAGCAGUGAGGAAUAUUGGUCAAUGGGUGCAAGCCUGAACCAGCCAUCCCGCGUGAAGGACGACUGCCCUAUGGGUUGUAAACUUCUUUUGUAUAGGGAUAAACCUACCCUCGUGAGGGUAGCUGAAGGUACUAUACGAAUAAGCACCGGCUAACUCCGUGCCAGCAGCCGCGGUAAUACGGAGGGUGCAAGCGUUAUCCGGAUUUAUUGGGUUUAAAGGGUCCGUAGGCGGACUUAUAAGUCAGUGGUGAAAGCCUGUCGCUUAACGAUAGAACUGCCAUUGAUACUGUAAGUCUUGAGUAUAUUUGAGGUAGCUGGAAUAAGUAGUGUAGCGGUGAAAUGCAUAGAUAUUACUUAGAACACCAAUUGCGAAGGCAGGUUACCAAGAUAUAACUGACGCUGAGGGACGAAAGCGUGGGGAGCGAACAGGAUUAGAUACCCUGGUAGUCCACGCCGUAAACGAUGCUAACUCGUUUUUGGGCUUUAGGGUUCAGAGACCAAGCGAAAGUGAUAAGUUAGCCACCUGGGGAGUACGCUCGCAAGAGUGAAACCCAAAGGAAUUGACGGGGGCCCGCACAAGCGGUGGACUAUGUGGUUUAAUUCGAUGAUACGCGAGGAACCUUACCAAGACUUAAAUGGGAAUUGACAGCUUUAGAAAUAGAGCUUUCUUCGGACAAUUUUCAAGGUGCUGCAUGGUUGUCGUCAGCUCGUGCCGUGAGGUGUUAGGUUAAGUCCUGCAACGAGCGCAACCCCUGUCACUAGUUGCCAUCAUUCAGUUGGGGACUCUAGUGAGACUGCCUACGCAAGUAGAGAGGAAGGUGGGGAUGACGUCAAAUCAUCACGGCCCUUACGUCUUGGGCCACACACGUAAUACAAUGGCCGGUACAGAGGGCAGCUACACAGCGAUGUGAUGCAAAUCUCGAAAGCCGGUCUCAGUUCGGAUUGGAGUCUGCAACUCGACUCUAUGAAGCUGGAAUCGCUAGUAAUCGCGCAUCAGCCAUGGCGCGGUGAAUACGUUCCCGGGCCU
rnacentral:rRNA from 1 species